rnacentral:lncRNA from 1 species
UGUUGCCUCGUCAGCGCCAGUGCUGUCACAGAGUCGGUGUCCCGUUUAAUAGCAUCCUGUGCUCAUGACCUCUUCAUGGGUCCAGAUUAUCACCAAUCUGUUUUUGCCUUGUAAUUUACCCAUCUGAAUGAAUAAAUCAUCAAAUGCCAGGCAUUGCUCCUUCCUCGCCACGAUCCCACUGAACAACCCAUCUUAAUGUACUCUGACAGCCUCAUAUUUGCUGCCUUCUGUGUUUCCUCUGUAUGCUGAAAUGACUGCCCUGCAUCUGAAAAUGCCACAUCAACUCCAUUGUUGUUUGUCAA